rnacentral:rRNA from 1 species
UAAGCAUAUCACUAAGCGGAGGAGAAGAAACUAACCAGGAUUUCCCUAGUAACGGCGAGCGAACCGGAAAGAGCCCAGCUUGAAAAUCGUGGUGCCUCGCGCCUCGAGUUGUAGUCUGGAGAAGGUCCCUCUGCGACGCGCCGGACCCAAGUUCCCUGGAAAGGGACGUCCGAGAGGGUGAGAACCCCGUCCGUGUCCGAACCGCGUCGCUCCACGAGGACCUGUCUGCGAGUCGGGCUGUUUGGGAAUGCAGCCCUAAGCGGGUGGUAAAUUCCAUCCAAGGCUAAAUACUGGCAAGAGACCGAUAGCGAACAAGUACCGCGAGGGAAAGAUGAAAAGGACUUUGAAAAGAGANNNNNNNNNNNNNNNNNNNNNNNNNGAGGGAAGCGAAUGGAAGCUGCGGGUGCGCCCCGGUUGGAUGUGGAACGGCUUCGGCUGGUCCGCCGCUCAACGCGGGGCGCUGGUCAGCGUGGGCCGUCGCGCCGGGACAAGAGCGGGGAUUCGCUUCCCGCCUAUGCCGGUGCGGUGGCCGAGGAACGAAGCGCGCGCCUCUUUUGGCGUGGGUUCGCCCAACUGCGCGCUCGGGACGCUGGCGUAUUGAGCUCUUCAUCCGACCCGUCUUGAAACACGGACCAAGGAGUCUAACAUGUAUGCGAGCCGGUGGGCGGCAAACCCAUUGAGGCGCAAGUAACCUGACAGGUGGGACCCCGACCGCGAGGGAGGGAGCACCAUCGACCGACCGUGAUCUUCUGUGAAAGGUUUGAGUGUGAGCAUACCUGUUGGGACCCGAAAGAUGGUGAACUAUGCCUGAGCAGGGCGAAGCCAGAGGAAACUCUGGUGGAGGCUCGUAGCGAUACUGACGUGCAAAUCGUUCGUCAGACUUGGGUAUAGGGGCGAAAGACUAAUCGAACCAUCUAGUAGCUGGUUCCCUCCGAAGUUUCCCUCAGGAUAGCUGGAGCUCGUGUAAAAGUUUUAUCAGGUAAAGCGAAUGAUUAGAGGCAUCGGGGGUGUAACACCCUCGACCUAUUCUCAAACUUUAAAUAGGUAAGCCGCCGGGGUUGCUUGGUUGAACCCUGGCACAGAAUGAGAGCUCCAAGUGGGCCAUUUUUGGUAAGCAGAACUG